UGGCCCAACGGCAUGGAGAGCCUCGUCCUCGCCUCCUCCUGCUCCCCGUCCCCACGGCUGCCACUAUUCUCCCCCUCCACCCGCUUCCGCCGGGUGCCCGGCUCCAUGCCACAGGCGCCGGCGUCCACCAGCGGUGUCACGCGGAAAGGUCCCUGGAGGCACAUGCUCUUCGUUGUCGCUGCCAUCGUGGCUCCUUCCGGAUCUAGGAACAGUCAUUGGUGUCUUCUCCAAGGCGUUUGUCUCCCUGCCCGCGCUGCGGUGCUCCAACUCGGCCUCCUUCCCAUGGCCCUCCACUCACGUCCGGCCGGAGCUCCCUCUGGUUCCAGCUCGCUCGGGUGCCCUCCCUGCUUCUCUCUCCCUCCAUCUAUCCUCCAUGGCGCUCGGCUUCUCCCAUCUCCCAUGCGUGCACCCCUGGCCUCUGCUCGGAAUUCGCCUCGUUGAGCUCCCUCGCCAUGGCCGUCGCGCCCUGCUCCAGCUUGGCUCCAACUCCGAAGCUUACCAGCACCCCAGACAUCCUCUCCAAGCUAUCGUUGAGCUAUGUCCCACCUCACCACACGCUCGAUUUCUCGUUCAGACGCACGGUUUCCUCCCCACGUUGCGAACUCCUAUUUCCCAAGCCAUCAGACUCGUCUUCCUCGACUCUUUCCCUCCGCGCGCACAAGGGCUCGCCUGCCGCCACGAACGUCUUAUCUAGCUUGUUCGUAGCAGCAACUAUCAUUCUAUACCUGCAAGUCCCUCUUCGACCUCAAUAGGAGCUCCUGAUCAUCGGAAGGGUAGUAGAUGGCAACGGUGGGAUGCAAGGCAUGAGACAUUGGCUUCUUGCUGGACUUCUCCACGAGGAUGAUCAGCUGUUGCUGUGUACUGCAUGGGUGGAGAAAGCCUGGAGGUGUGAAGACUGAGUUAGAUGUAGGGGAAAGUGAGGUCCGUGCAGUGUCUGUCAAGUACUCGAUGAAAUGUCGUAGCGUGGUACACCUUGGUCUGUGCAGCCCCAAUCGUGACCUCGUCGAACCCCAGUGAGGACCCACUGUCUCCUUGUGAUUAUUCCUCGUUAGUAUCUAUACCCGACGUCGAUUUAUUUGAUGCUAAUCAUUUGUACGUUUAUGUGUGCUUGUGAGGAGAGAAUUCCGGAUGUUGGGCAAAAGCAAGCGAGGUUCGGGUGACGCUUGUGUAUCCGAUAGAAAGACUGAACCCAAAACCAUCACUGUGUUCGCGAACGUCGCGUCGAGUUUAGUCGUGGUACGAUAAUUAAUCACGUGAUGCGGAAGACGACCCAAGUCGGCCCUAGGAUAAUGCAGAGAUUGGACAACUCCGCAAGACGACGUCAUCAGUCGGACGAACCUAAAGAUGGACAAACUAAAUGAGUGCCAAGGCUAAGGAUGGACAUCAAGUGAUCGUCGGCUAACAAACACUAACGUAGUGUUUUUUCUAGGCAAGCCCCGGUGCAUUUACCCCUUCCUUGUAUUUUUAAAAAGACUUUUAUACACUUAAGUCUAGUGAAAUGUGCAUUAAGUUUAUAGGAAUUGCUUGGAAACUAUUUGAUGCAUUGA